UGCGUAGGCGGACUAAUAAGUCAGUGGUGAAAUCUUUCGGCUCAACCGAGAAACUGCCACUGAUACUGUUAGUCUUGAGUUCGGUUGAGGUAGGCGGAAUGUGUAAUGUAGCGGUGAAAUGCUUAGAUAUUACACAGAACACCAAUUGCGUAGGCAGCUUACUAGACCGACACUGACGCUGAGGCACGAAAGCGUGGGGAGCGAACAGGAUUAGAUACCCUGGUAGUCC
rnacentral:rRNA from 1 species